rnacentral:rRNA from 1 species
UACGUAGGGUGCAAGCGUUGUCCGGAAUUAUUGGGCGUAAAGAGCUCGUAGGCGGUCUGUCGCGUCUGCUGUGAAAACUCAGGGCUUAACCCUGAGCUUGCAGUGGGUACGGGCAGGCUAGAGUCCGGCAGGGGAGACUGGAAUUCCUGGUGUAGCGGUGAAAUGCGCAGAUAUCGGGAAGAACACCCGUGGCGAAGGCGGCUCUCUGGGACGGUACUGACGCUGAGACGCGAAAGCGUGGGGAGCGAACAGG